AAUGAACGCUGGCGGCGCGCCUAAUACAUGCAAGUCGAGCGAGAAGACGUAGCAAUACGUUUGUAAGGCGGCGAACGGGUGAGGAAUACAUGGGUAACCUACCCUCGAGUGGGGAAGUAACUAGCCGAAAGGUUAGCUAAUACCGCGUACGCUCCUUGGACUUCGGUUUCAGGGAGGAAAGCGAUACCGUGGGUAUCGCGCUCUUGGUUGGGCUCAUGUCCUAUCAGCUUGUUGGU
rnacentral:rRNA from 1 species